rnacentral:misc_RNA from 1 species
AACUUUCAACAACGGAUCACCUGGAUAUGGCAUCGAUGAAGAACGCAGCGAAAUGCGAUAAGUAGUGUGAAUUGCAGAAUUCAGUGAAUCAUCGAAUCUUUGAACGCACAUUGCACCUUCUGGUAUUCUGGGAGGUAUGCCUGUUCGAGCGUCAUUGCAACCAUCAAGCCUAGGCUUGGUUUUGGAUGCCACCGCUUGGUGCAUCUCAAAAUUAUUGGCGGUGCCAUUCAGCUUCAAGCGUAGUAAAUUUCUCGCUCCUGGAGUUUGUGUUGUACCCGCUAGAACCCCCAAAUUUAUCAAGGUUUGACCUCGGAUCAGGUAGGGAUACCCGCUGAACUUAAGCAUAUCAAUAAGCGGAGGCU